GCCCUCGUAGCUCAGGGGAUAGAGCACCGGCCUCCGGAGCCGGGUGCGCAGGUUCGAAUCCUGCCGAGGGUGCCA
rnacentral:tRNA from 1 species